rnacentral:rRNA from 1 species
UAGAGGAAGUAAAAGUCGUAACAAGGUUUCCGUAGGUGAACCUGCGGAAGGAUCAUUACCGAGAGGGGGGCUCCGGCCCCCGACUCAUCACCCGUUGCCGACCUACCUUUGUUGCUUUGGCGGACCCGGGCACCGUCCCGCGUCGGCCCCCGGCCGGCGAGCGCCCGCCAGAGGUCCAUCAAACCCUUAUUUUCCAGUGACGUCGGAGCGAAAAACACAAUUAUCAAAAACUUUCAACAACGGAUCUCUUGGUUCCGGCAUCGAUGAAGAACGCAGCGAAAUGCGAUAAGUAAUGUGAAUUGCAGAAUUCAGUGAAUCAUCGAAUCUUUGAACGCACAUUGCGCCCCUCGGUAUUCCGGGGGGCAUGCCUGUUCGAGCGUCAUUGCACCCCUCAAGCACAGCUUGGUGUUGGGCGUCGCCCCCGGGGCGUGCCCGAAAAGCAGUGGCGGCCCGGGACGGCUCCAAGCGCAGUACAUCACAUUCCGCUUUGAGAGUCCGCCCCGUGGCCGGCCAGACAACCCUAUGACUUCAAUGAUUGACCUCGG